UACGUAGGGGGCUAGCGUUGUCCGGAAUCAUUGGGCGUAAAGAGCGCGUAGGCGGCUGGAAUAGUCCGGUGUGAAAUCCACAGGCUUAACCUGUGAAUGCCGCUGGAAACUGUCUGGCUAGAGUCCGGAAGGGGCGAGUGGAAUUCCUGGUGUAGCGGUGAAAUGCGCAGAUAUCAGGAGGAACACCAAUGGCGAAGGCAGCUCGCUGGGACGGUACUGACGCUGAGACGCGAAAGCGUGGGGAGCGAACAGG
rnacentral:rRNA from 1 species